UACGGAGGGUGCGAGCGUUGUUCGGAAUCACUGGGCGUAAAGGGCGCGUAGGUGGCGGCCCAAGUCCGUGGUGAAAGCUCGAUGCUUAACAUCGAGUCGGCCACGGAGACUGGGUGGCUCGAGCACUGUAGGGGCAGAUGGAAUUCCGGGUGUAGCGGUGGAAUGCGUAGAGAUCCGGAAGAACACCGGUGGCGAAGGCGGCUCGCUGGGCAGUGGCUGACGCUGAGGCGCGACAGCGUGGGGAGCAAACAGG
rnacentral:rRNA from 1 species